CUAUUUUCAUCUUGUUAAGUCUGAGCGUCUCCUUCGAUUCUGCAUCCGCAAUCGGAGAGCGUCUCUCUCGCCGAGCUCCCAGCCAAUUCGAAAGUCCAGAGGUACGCCUUCGAUUUAGGUUUUCUCAUAUGAAUUUGAAUCUGUGUUUUCGUCUUCGCACCUUUGAAAUUUCCUUAUUCGUCUCCGAUUCAAAUCGAUUUCUUCUGUAUCUCUCUCAGAGCUUCAUCUCCGGCUGAAGAGUUGAGAUCUAACCGCCGACGAUUCGGCUCUCGCAGAUCGGAAGCAAAAGGUACACGCCUCUAUCUUAAACUUAUCUUAAUCGGUACUUCUUUGAAAUUAGGAAUUUGCACAUCUUAGGAUUCUUUUCGGUGAGGCGAGUGAUGUUGCUAUUGAUUUCUUUGUUUCUUGAUUCCGUUAAGAGUUUGUCUGAAAAAUUCAUUCCGGCGAAAGUGGGUCGGAAAUAGCACAAUUCUCAUUUGGAUUUCCAGAGGGAAUUUCAUUCACAGAUACAUACAUAUUAUGCGAUAUGAAUAGGAAACAAAGUGUUUUGGAAAUGCUAUGAGCUUUUUAUUACUUUCAGAAUGCCAGAAGAAACUUUUGUGCACUGUAUUUCGCUCUCCCUGCACCAUUUUCUAAUCUAUUAAAGCUUACAAUCUUCGGUCACUUUGCUCAAAGCAAAUAGCAAUUAUGUUAAAACUGCAUGACAUCUAUUGGAUUAUGCUGGCUGUUUUUACAAAUUGGCUAAAUCCCUCUUUGUUCAUGUGAGGAUACAACUUAAACUAAAACUACCCUUUUUUUUCUUCUAUUCUCAACAAGCCGAUUUACAAUAGCUGAAUCAGCUGCCACUCAAUCUUGAUUUCUCUGGUGCUCUUUAGACAUGCUUCUUUGAAAAUUUUGGAAUGGCUACUCCUCUUUCUUGUCUUUUGGUUUGGCCAACCUGCUGGCUGGGAAGUGCAGCCGGGCCAUUAAAGGACGUGGACCUCUUGAUUUCUGAUCAAAUCCCCUCACGCACACAAAUCCUGCACAUCGAUUAAGCAACUCUUUAGGGAACAUAUUUUAUUUGGCCGUAGGUUUCUUAGGAACUUUCUACACGCAAUUUGUGACACAAAAACAAAGUCCAAUAAAAGGUGAAAUAAAACACAUUUGAUAAGCUAAUAUCAAAUUUCAUUCGUAGUAAGGUGUAAUCUGGUAAUAUUUGAAGUAAUAUGAUUCAUGUACGAAACCAGAAAUCCUUGUAUUACUCAUUCUGUACAUUUUUCCCAUGAACCUACAAAGUGCUAGUACAAGAGCUAUGUCAAGGGAAUUCAUUAGAAGGAUAUAUUUUAAAUAUCGCUAGGUCUUAUAUGUUAGAAGGGAAGUAGGUUUUAUAUCUCUUGCAAGGAUAAGGUUUUGAAUAUGUGUAGAGACAAGUAUAUCCUGUACCCAUAGGGGAGAAUGUGCAUACAAGUUACAAAUGAAACUAAUAUGGAUGACAUGAGAAAUAGGAAGCAGCAUAUUUCCAUACCUCUCCAAAAGCACUGUUGAAUUUCUGGUGUUGUUAACCCUGGUAAGAAGAAGUACAUUAGAUGAGAAAUCCGUUAUAUCAGUAGUCCGUAUUAUAAGAGUGUAAAGUUUUACAAUCUUUACCUUUGAAUAUUGUCGGUAUUGAGGUUCCGAAGUACACAGUUCUCCUAUUCAGAUUCCACAACCAGCCUCUUGGAACAUCAAGAGGCUCAAGGCUCGAAUCAUGAUCAGCAAAUACCUGCAUUGGACAUCAUAUGUAAUCAAUAUCCCCAACUUGAAAUAGAUUCAUUAAGAUAUGAAGAAACUGAGGCUAGUUAAAUAAUCUCUCACCUCGUUAACUUGAAAGUAGGUGCCGUUAAGUGGGAAGCUCCCUCUCAUUGCUGUUCGGCAUGGUAUCUGUCCAUGAUGUAUUUCAAGAACAGUAAAUAUUUGUUAUUGUCAUCAUCUUAUAGUGGUGUUUCAAGUGUUUCAUUGUUUUACUUUUGCUAUGGUUAUAAUUAUUGGUGGCUUUAACACUAUACAUGGCUAUGAAGGUAUUUUUAGUUUAUUAGCAUAUUCUUACCAAGAGAGUCCCUCGAACUGUUUGUGAAUAUGCUUCCCGUGCACUAUUGCAUUGGAAACAUUCCUUAUCGUCACACAAUUUUCCGAAUUCUUGAGAACUACACCUAUUCUCUGGAGGUUGAAUGGAGUUUGCUGUUUCACCUGGCAUGAACAACAAGGUAAGUUAGUUUGAUUCAGCUAUUAAACUUAUAGAAAUAAUAGAAAAUAUAUUAGCUUUGGGCAGGCCACCUUCUGAGGGGAGCAUUUCUUAAACCAGUUUCUUAGUGGCACAGAUGAUAAUAGUACUCAUUAUCACACUUGGGACUGUUCUUAGGGGUUCCUAAAGAUAUGUUGCCCACUUUGGAAGAUGGUCCUAGGUUAAAUUCUUUAAAAGAGGGAAAAAUAGGAAAAUUAAAAAUUAAUUGCCAAACUAAAUUCUAUAUAGUUUGGGAUUUCUAUAUCAUCUGCUUACCUGGUGUCCAAAUGGCCAAAAGGUAAUUGCAUGGAUCAUCAGGUUCGCGCUUAUCCAUCCCCAACUGUAUUAGGCACAAAGCCAGAUUUGGGUUAAAAUUUUGGAGUACUUGGCAAAAACAAGAAGAGGAAUAUAAAAACAAUACUUAGCCAUGAUUUUGGCACUCCACUUUCCCAUAACUUAGAGUGCAAGUGCUAAAGUGGAGUGCCAUAGUCCCUCCCAUUAAACAAUUUAGCAUGUAGAUAUUACUUACUCGAUCUAGAAGAGGGUGUGAAUCAGGAAGUUCAUAGCUGCAUUACGAAGAACAAGAAUUAGCAACAUAAAAAAGCUAGGGUCAUUGUUAGGUGAUAACAUCAUAGUAAUAUUAUGGUCUACAAAACUAUGGAGUUUUUUUCCUAACUAAAUCUUGUUUGUUUUUUAAGUAACUAGACUUUCAAUCCCUAUAUUUUCGCUGUUCCUUUGAUUCUUGGCUUGAAAGUUGGACAUGGUUUUCGAAUCUUCUUGAAAUAAUUAGAGUGAUGUCAAUGCAUGCUUACACUUGGUGCUCAGUUCGUAGUCGGCUCACAUUCUUAAGCUUUGGUGUAGGAAGAGAUGCAGCGUCUGGUGUUAGAGCAACUAAUGCCUUUGACAUUUCUCCUUGUUGAAGUUCCAUGUUUUGUUGCAUAUAAUUUUGCAAGUUCUGAGUGAACUGUUCCAUGUUAAGUUUAAUUGUAGGAAUUUCAUUUGGGUCCUCGUAGAAAUCCUCAAUGUCUUCUACUAUCUCUGUGCACUCUGGUUCUGGGGAUGCUGGCUCUUCAAUAAUAGGUUCAGUAUAACCAAGUGCAGACUUUGGUCUUGAUUGUUGGCUUGCUUCAAGUUGCUGGUUUCCUCCCAACUGUUCUGUUGGGUGAGGAUGAGGGAGAGGGAGAGGGAUAGGUAAAGGCAUUCUGUUGUUGAUCUCACCAGGGUUUCGAUACUUAUUUCUAUUUUGUGUUGCACUCACUAUGCUUUUCUCCUCGGGCCCUGGCAAGGCAAGUCUUGCACUGCAUCAAUAAAUGUUAUUAGUAAAUCUGUCAAAUAAAGUAGCUGUAAAGUGGGUCUUAUAAGGAUCAGUAGUUGGCUGGUUAAUAGCCUACGAUAUUUGGUGAAUAGGUAAUAAUGGGCCUUUUAUUACAUAACAAUAUGAUUCACAAACCCUUUUUCUUUUUUCUUGAACUACGUAUGUUUUUUAUUUCCAUGUGUUGAUAAAGCAAAGUCAUAGCUGUUAUAUUCCCUAAUCCCUAUUUAAUAUAAUUUUAACCAUAUAUUUGUUUAGGACUAGUUUUACUCAUCAGGAUGUUUUCUUCUUAGUGGUGGACAAAUGAACACAUUUUCUUAUCUAUUGGAAUUACCUACACGAUGGAGUUUGUGACUUUAAUUAAAAUGCAAAGCUGGAGCAAUUAGUAUACAAACCUUGCAAAUGCACUUGCAAAAUGUCUACAUUCUCCUCUCAUUGGACAUGCAUUGCAAUUCGGUUUGCUUUUCGUGCAGAAGACCUGCAUCAAUGAAUGCCAUUUUAUCAGUUCUAAGCCUGUGGUCAGACAGAGGAAUUCACUUCAUAUAUAUCACGAGACAAGACAACAUACCUUUCCAAAUGUUAUCAUCUGGUAGUGCAGCUCGUACCUGUUAGCAAAUAUUGAAAGGGUUUAGCCUAUUGGUAUCUGAUUUAUUGAAGACCAAACUUUGUUUUCAGAAUCUGCAAGAUCAUUUUUAUAAAACACGCUAGUGUAUUGGGGUAAGAAUAUGAAUUUGUACUAACAAGGUUCGUUGGUCAAGCUUGCAGAGUCUUGGCCACAAGUACUUCUGUAUGGAUUCCAGCACCGGGUACCUUUGAAAGACUUAAGCAUUAGUAAUAUGUUGACCUAUGUGGAAAUAAUUUCCGUUAGUGACAUGGUGGCUCAUUAUACUAACAGUUCUAGAAGAUGCAACUGCAGUGACUCGGGCAAGGGCUGAAGAGGUACCCAUCCCAGCCGUACAGCUAUACGUCCAACAUUUGUAUCGACCUACAAAGACAAAUGAUAUAUGUUGAGAUGCUUCGUCUAUUAUUCAGACAUACUUGAUAUAUAUAUAUAUAUAUACAGAAAGGAUGUAGAGCGGACGUCCGCACUCGGCUUAAAAUGCGGACGUUCGUCUGUUCUCCAUCCUCCGGCUCCGGCGAUGGCGGGCCUCCACCCUAGAAGACUCCAGCCGCGUCCCCGACCACUUCCCCUCCCCGGCGAGUCCGUUUUUUUCCAGUUUCCGGCGAGAUCGACUUUGUUUGAAGUUUUGGGUGAUCUCGCUAGAAAACCGGAAAAGAAUGGACUCGCCGGGGAGGGGAAGUGGUCGGGGGCGCUGCUGGAGUCUUCUGGGUGGAGGCACGCCGUCGCCGGCGCCGGAGGGUGGAGAACGGACGGACGUCCGCACUUUAAGCCGAGUGCGGACGUCCGCUUCAUAUCCUUCCUGUAUAUAUACAUAUAUAUAUAUAUAGAUACUCACCGGAAAAGCAAGAUGGUGAAGUGUUAAAAGCCUCACACACUCCACGCUUUUUAGCCCCAGUCCACGGAAGCUCAGCAGAUACUCUCUACAGGCAUAGGCAUAUGGAACACAAAUCACAGAAGUUUGAUGCAUAAUUUCACUACUUUAGGAGCAUAUCCAUGGCAAUUGUUAAGACACUUGCAAGUAAGUAAUUAGUUCUAGACUUUGGUUUUCAUAAUUGUAAAAUUGGCCUGUAAUAAUUCUAUGGGCUUACUUUGCUUGGUCAGGUGGAACAUCCCGCAACCAUUCAAGAUCAACACUCCCAUGUUCUCUAAGUAGUCGGUUAAGGAAUUCCUGCACAAAUAUCUCAAUCAUGUUGGUGUGUACAGGUAAAUGAAUUUGUUAAUUAUAAUUUUACAUUAUAGUUAUAGGUACCUUGAUUCUUUCUGCAAGCAUAUUAUUCAUCCCCCUUUCUUUGAUAGUUUGGGCAAUGUCAUUCACAUUUGCAGUUCUUACAGCUUCCCAGUCCACGGAAUCCAUUGUGUUUGCUGUUUUUUCCCUUUUUCUUCCGUUUGGUUCUGCUCGUUCUCUUAAUUUGUCCCAGUCCUGCUGAGCCUUUUUGUCUUUUCCAGGUCUUCUGUUCUUUGUCUUUGAGGUAGCAGCAUCCUUUUUACUGACUUCGUUGAAGCUUAAAUCUGACUCAGGUCCCUUAUGCAUAAUAUCUGCGGUCUCUCCAGAAAUGUUGCAACUUUGCUGAAUCUUAUUUGUGUGCUUCUCAGUAGGUACGUAAACCUUAUUUGGGUUCCCACCAACCCUGAAUUGAGACAGAACCACAUUACUUUUUCCUUGAAUGCAAGUGCAUGAUUCACUGAAACAUCUCUGUGCAUCUUGAUCAUUGACAGUAAGCUUAAUACUUGUUGUAUCUUGACUCACAGAUUCUGCUGUUAGUACACUCUGUUCCCCCAGACUGUCUUCGUAAUUGUUCUUGAAAAUAUUAGAAGAAUGGAUUACCUCUUCAAUCAAUUCAGAGCACUCAACUUGCACUACUUCUGGGUUGGAGGUAUUAUGUACACAGCAAUUAUUG
rnacentral:lncRNA from 1 species